rnacentral:rRNA from 1 species
CGCUAGCGGGAGGCCUACACAUGCAGCUGAGCGGUAGAGUUCCUUCGGGGACUUGAGAGCGGCGUACGGGUGCGGAACACGUGUGCAACCUGCCUUUAUCAGGGGGAUAGCCUUUCGAAAGGAAGAUUAAUACCCCAUAAUAUUUAGAUUGGCAUCACUUUAAAUUGAAAACUGAGGUGGAUAAAGAUGGGCACGCGCAAGAUUAGAUAGUUGGUGAGGUAACGGCUCACCAAGUCGAUGAUCUUUAGGGGGCCUGAGAGGGUGAUCCCCCACACUGGUACUGAGACACGGACCAGACUCCUACGGGAGGCAGCAGUGAGGAAUAUUGGACAAUGGGUUAGCGCCUGAUCCAGCCAUCCCGCGUGAAGGACGACGGCCCUAUGGGUUGUAAACUUCUUUUGUACAGGGAUAAACCUAUCUACGUGUAGAUAGCUGAAGGUACUGUACUAAUAAGCACCGGCUAACUCCGUGCCAGCAGCCGCGGUAAUACGGAGGGUGCAAG